AUUAAGGACGAAAAAUGACGGUACUUAAUGAAUAAGCUCCGGCUAACUACGUGCCAGCAGCCGCGGUAAUACGUAGGGAGCAAGCGUUGUCCGGAUUUACUGGGUGUAAAGGGUGCGUAGGCGGCUUUGCAAGUCAGAUGUGAAAUCUAUGGGCUCAACCCAUAAACUGCAUUUGAAACUGUAGAGCUUGAGUGAAGUAGAGGCAGGCGGAAUUCCCCGUGUAGCGGUGAAAUGCGUAGAGAUGGGGAGGAACACCAGUGGCGAAGGCGGCCUGCUGGGCUUUAACUGACGCUGAGGCACGAAAGCGUGGGUAGCAAACAGGAUUAGAUACCCUGGUAGUCCACGCUGUAAACGAUGAUUACUAGGUGUGGGGGGUCUGACCCCUUCCGUGCCGGAGUUAACACAAUAAGUAAUCCACCUGGGGAGUACGGCCGCAAGGUUGAAACUCAAAGGAAUUGACGGGGGCCCGCACAAGCAGUGGAGUAUGUGGUUUAAUUCGAAGCAACGCG
rnacentral:rRNA from 1 species